UACAACAAAGGCUACAUAUUUAAAUUAAAAAACACUAAAGCGUUUUUUGUUUACUAAUAUUUGUGGCUUUUCUACUAUGUACCGGGCACUUUUCAAGGCAUAGGGCACUAGUGAACGGAACAGAUAAAGUACCUGACUUGACAGAGCUUGCAUGCUACUUCCUGGAAGAUGGACAAGAAACAAGUAAGUUUCUAGAAAAUAAAGAGGGGGAAUGUAGAGUACCUCUGUGUCAGUGGAGUGUUACUCUGUGAAGGAGGGUAAGAAAAGGGGUCUCAAAUAAUGCAACGUAUUAAAGUCAUCUGAAAAGAAGCAAGCAAGAUGUGCGGGAGAGGGUCGUUUUAGGCAGAGGGGACAACAGAUGAAAAGUCCUCAGCUGGGAGAGAGCUUGAGAUUUGUAAGGACCUGCAUAGAAGGCGCGGCUCAGGCUGAAGUAGAGCAGGACGAUAACAAAGUGAAAGAGGAGAGGCGAGGAGAGGCGGGAAGGGGCGGAGCACGUGUUUCGGAUGGGCGCAUAGAAUGGAGACUUCCGGGCCAUGUCAGGCCUUUUGCUUUUACUCAGAGAUGGAGUUUCACCACGUUGUCUAGGCUGGUCUCUAACUCCUGACCUCGUGAUCCACCUGCCUCGGCCUCCCAAAAUGCUGGGGUUACAGGCGUGAGCCACCGCGCCCAGCCCUGAUAUUCAUUUUAAAGGAAUCUCUGUGUGUAGUGUUGAUGGCAGACUUACAGGAACAGGGCAGAAGCACGGAGAGAUCAGUGAAGAGUUAAAUCCAGAACCGAGAUGCACCUGAGAGAAAUUACAUCACAUUAUUCAUCAAUGGGGGCACAUAUACAUGUGUAGAGUUGCUCUUCCGUAUCCAUGGGGGAUUGGUUCCAGGAUUCCUUCAGAUACCAGCAUGUACAGAUGCUCAAGUCCCUCAGAUUUGUCGAAGAUUAGAUAGCGAAGUCAUGGAACCAACCCAAAUGCCUAUCAACGACAGACUGGAUAAAGAAAAUGUGGUACAAAUACAUCACAGAAUACUAUGAGGCCAUAAAAAAGGAAUGGGAUCACAUCCUUUGCAGGUACAUAAAUAAUGCUGGAAGCCAUUGUCCUCAGCAAACUAACACAGGAACAGAAAACCAAACACUGCAUGCUCUCAUUCAUAAGUGGGAGCUGAACAAUGAGAACACAUGGAUACAGGGAGGGGAACACCACACACCAGGGCCUGUUGGGGGGUGAGGGAGGGCAGGGGGAGGGAAUUUAGAGGAUGGGUCAAUAGGUGCAGCAAACCACCAUGGCACACAUAUUCCUGUGUAACAAACCUGUACGUUCUGCACAUAUAUCCCAGAACUUAAAGUAAAAUAAAAAAAUAAAAUAAAAUAAAAAAUAAAACU
rnacentral:lncRNA from 1 species